rnacentral:rRNA from 1 species
CCUACGGGAGGCAGCAGUGGGGAAUAUUGCACAAUGGGGGAAACCCUGAUGCAGCGACGCCGCGUGAGUGAAGAAGUAAUUCGUUAUGUAACGCUCUAUCAGCAGGGAAGAAAAUGACGGUACCUGAGUAAGCAGCCCCGGCUAACUACGUGCCAGACGCCGCGGUAAUACGUAGGGGGCAAGCGUUAUCCGGAUUUACUGGGUGUAAAGGGAGCGUAGACGGCAGUGCAAGUCUGGAGUGAAAGGCGGGGGCUCAACCCGCGGACUGCUCUGGAAACUGUACGGCUUGAGUGCAGGAGAGGUAAGUGGAAUUCCUGGUGUAGCGGUGAAAUGCGUAGAUAUUAGGAGGAACACCAGUGGCGAAGGCGGCUUACUGGACUGUAACUGACGUUGAGGCUCGAAAGCGUGGGGAGCAAACAGGAUUAGAUACCCUUGUAGUC